CAUGCAAGUCGAGGGGAACGACAUCGAAAGCUUGCUUUUGAUGGGCGUCGACCGGCGCACGGGUGAGUAACGCGUAUCCAACCUGCCCACCACUUGGGGAUAACCUUGCGAAAGUAAGACUAAUACCCAAUGACGUCUCUAGAAGACAUCUGAAAGAGAUUAAAGACUUAUCGGUGAUGGAUGGGGAUGCGUCUGAUUAGCUUGUUGGCGGGGUAACGGCCCACCAAGGCGACGAUCAGCAGGGGUUCUGAGAGGAAGGUCCCCCACAUUGGAACUGAGACACGGUCCAAACUCCUACGGGAGGCAGCAGUGAGGAAUAUUGGUCAAUGGACGAGAGUCUGAACCAGCCAAGUAGCGUGCAGGAAGACGGCCCUAUGGGUUGUAAACUGCUUUUAUAAGGGAAUAAAGUGAGAGUCGUGACUCUUUUUGCAUGUACCUUAUGAAUAAGGACCGGCUAAUUCCGUGCCAGCAGCCGCGGUAAUACGGAAGGUCCGGGCGUUAUCCGGAUUUAUUGGGUUUAAAGGGAGCGUAGGCCGGAGAUUAAGCGUGUUGUGAAAUGUAGAUGCUCAACAUCUGAACUGCAGCGCGAACUGGUUUCCUUGAGUACGCACAAAGUGGGCGGAAUUCGUGGUGUAGCGGUGAAAUGCUUAGAUAUCACGAAGAACUCCGAUUGCGAAGGCAGCUCACUGGAGCGCAACUGACGCUGAAGCUCGAAAGUGCGGGUAUCGAACAGGAUUAGAUACCCUGGUAGUCCGCACGGUAAACGAUGGAUGCCCGCUGUUGGUCUGAAUAGGUCAGCGGCCAAGCGAAAGCAUUAAGCAUCCCACCUGGGGAGUACGCCGGCAACGGUGAAACUCAAAGGAAUUGACGGGGGCCCGCACAAGCGGAGGAACAUGUGGUUUAAUUCGAUGAUACGCGAGGAACCUUACCCGGGCUUG
rnacentral:rRNA from 1 species